rnacentral:tRNA from 1 species
UUGGUCUGAGAAUAUAUCUGAUUGCAAGUCGGAUUUGGGGUUUAGUAGCCCUCAGGCCU